GACGGAGGAUGCAAGCGUUAUCCGGAAUGAUUGGGCGUAAAGCGUCCGCAGGUGGCAGUUCAAGUCUGCUGUCAAAGACCGGGGCUUAACUUCGGAAAGGCAGUGGAAACUGGACAGCUAGAGUAUGGUAGGGGCAGAGGGAAUUCCUGGUGUAGCGGUGAAAUGCGUAGAGAUCAGGAAGAACGUCGGUGGCGAAGGCGCUCUGCUGGACCAUAACUGACACUCAGGGACGAAAGCUAGGGGAGCGAAUGGG
rnacentral:rRNA from 1 species